UGCGGUUAUACAAAAAUUAAAUUGAAUUUUUUUAGGAUUUAAUUAAUAAAUAUUAAAAUUUAAUAUAAUUUAAAUUUUAGAUUAUAAAGUGAAAUUUUAAUUUAAUUAAAAUUUAUUUGUUUUUAUGAUAUUAAUAAAUUUUAUAAAAAACUAGGAUUAGAUACCCUAUUAUAAAAAUUUAAAUUUAAAUAAUCUUAAAAUAGUAUAUAAUUUUUUAUAGAAACUUAAAUAAUUUGGCGGUAUUUUAGUUCAUUUAGAGGAAUCUGUCUAAUAAUUGAUAAUCCACGAUUAAAUUUACUUAAUUUUUAAUUUUGUAUAUCGUUGUUAAAAAAAUAUUUUUAAAUAAUUUUAAUAUUUUAAAAUUUAUAUAAAAAAUUAAAUCAGAUCAAGAUGCAGAUUAUAAUUAAGAAUAUGAUGGAUUACAAUAAAUUUUAUUUAAUUUGGAUAUUAAUUUGAAAUAAAUUGAUUGAAAUUGGAUUUAAAUGUAAUUUUAUUUAUUUUAAUAAAAUGAUUAAAAAUUAAAAUAUGUACAUAUUGCCCGUCGCUUUCAUUAAUAAAUUGAAAUAAGUCGUAACAAAGUAGAGGUACUGGAAAGUGUUUCUAGAAAGAU
rnacentral:rRNA from 1 species